rnacentral:rRNA from 2 species
CUGGGCGUAAAGCGCACGCAGGCGGUCUGUCAAGUCGGAUGUGAAAUCCCCGGGCUCAACCUGGGAACUGCAUUCGAAACUGGCAGGCUUGAGUCUUGUAGAGGGGGGUAGAAUUCCAGGUGUAGCGGUGAAAUGCGUAGAGAUCUGGAGGAAUACCGGUGGCGAAGGCGGCCCCCUGGACAAAGACUGACGCUCAGGUGCGAAAGCGUGGGGAGCAAACAGGAUUAGAUACCCUGGUAGUCCACGCCGUAAACGAUGUCUACUUGGAGGUUGUGCCCUUGAGGCGUGGCUUCCGGAGCUAACGCGUUAAGUAGACCGCCUGGGGAGUACGGCCGCAAGGUUAAAACUCAAAUGAAUUGACGGGGGCCCGCACAAGCGGUGGAGCAUGUGGUUUAAUUCGAUGCAACGCGAAGAACCUUACCUGGUCUUGACAUCCACAGAACUUUCCAGAGAUGGAUUGGUGCCUUCGGGAACUGUGAGACAGGUGCUGCAUGGCUGUCGUCAGCUCGUGUUGUGAAAUGUUGGGUUAAGUCCCGCAACGAGCGCAACCCUUAUCCUUUGUUGCCAGCGGUCCGGCCGGGAACUCAAAGGAGACUGCCAGUGAUAAACUGGAGGAAGGUGGGGAUGACGUCAAGUCAUCAUGGCCCUUACGACCAGGGCUACACACGUGCUACAAUGGCGCAUACAAAGAGAAGCGACCUCGCGAGAGCAAGCGGACCUCAUAAAGUGCGUCGUAGUCCGGAUUGGAGUCUGCAACUCGACUCCAUGAAGUCGGAAUCGCUAGUAAUCGUGGAUCAGAAUGCCACGGUGAAUACGUUCCCGGGCCUUGUACACACCGCCCGUCACACCAUGGGAGUGGGUUGCAAAAGAAGUAGGUAGCUUAACCUUCGGGAGGGCGCUUACCACUUUGUGAUUCAUGACUGGGGUGAAGUCGUAACAAGGUAACCGUAGGGGAACCUGCGGUUGGA